rnacentral:rRNA from 1 species
UACGGGGGGAGCAAGCGUUGUUCGGAAUUACUGGGCGUAAAGGGCGCGUAGGCGGCCUUCUAAGUCGGACGUGAAAUCCCUCGGCUCAACCGAGGAACUGCGUCCGAUACUGAAAGGCUUGAAUCCGGGAGAGGGAUGUGGAAUUCCAGGUGUAGCGGUGAAAUGCGUAGAUAUCUGGAGGAACACCGGUGGCGAAGGCGGCAUCCUGGACCGGCAUUGACGCUGAGGCGCGAAAGCUAGGGGAGCAAACGGG